UAGCAGCAAGCAGGGAAGGAAAGCUGCAGCACUGCUAGGAACAAGAUUUGCUCAGAACAAGCUUUAAAAGAAAUCCUCCCGGGCUGUCUGGAAGAGCUGUUGUUUCAUGAGGAAACACAGCAACCAGAGCUCCCAUUAUGCCUCGUUGGUUUGUCAUUCUGCAGGCAUAAAGAUCAGCAAUGCUGCAAUCCAAAUGACUUCUCUUCCACGAGCUUUUGCAGCACAUAAAGGAGUUAAAACCAAAUCAAAGCAAACAGUGCUACCCAGCUGUAGUCCACAAGAGUACUUUCAGUUAUUGACCUGUGCUGCGUUUAUCUCAGAGCCACUGGGCUUUUUAUUGUUUUGCCUUUCUCUCCAAUGAGACAGAAGACUUUUUUCUACCUUUGAUGCCUCUGCGUUCAGUGGGGUGUCAAGAAAAUCCUCACACAGAGCAGAUGCUGCAGAAAUACAACACUGCAAAUGAAAGAAGCAAGGCAACGUGGAAGGCAGACAGACCAUGAUGUUUCAGCUCACACCAGGAGCCCAGCCACUGUCCCUCCUGCACCUUCGGAAGCACUGAGAUCUCAUUAUGAGGGUUUGAGAUGAAGGAAGAAGAUUCUGUCUUGCUGCCUCUCUGAGGUGACAAGUGUCCCAUUGCUCCCACAGAUGGCCUCUUCCUGCAUCCUACCUGCACAGCUCAGGUCUCAGCCUGUCACUAAUUCUGGAGUGUUAAGAGAUCUGCCUGUAUCACUCCCAGCCUACCUGAGUACGUGCAGCUGACAGCCAAGAGCACACAGCCCUGCCAAACCCUCCUGGACCAUGAGAAGAAACCAUGUUUAUAGCCAUGGAUGUCCACCAUCACAAUUCCAUCUGUCCUGGCUGUGGGAGUAUAGGAACAGAGUCCUAAGAGUGCUGGGGACAUCUCAGAGCAAAAGAAAAGGCCCUUCAUCUCCAGAAAUCAGACCACUGCAGCCUCACUAAUCUGUGUGAAGUAGAAGCAGGAGGGAAGGAGCAGAAGAGGUGAUCAAUCAAACUGCAAAACACUGAACAGGAAAAAACAGCACGGUGCAAAAAAAAACUACUUCCAGCUGAAUGGAGGUAAUUGGUUCCCAAGGGUACAAGAAGCAUUUCCUCUCCCAAGUGAUGUGAGCUUCCUACCAUAGGCCCUGUAAUACAUGUCACCAAACAUCACAGGGCUAUUCCUUGGAGCCUGAUAGCCUCAGCAAGUCCCUGUCUGUCCUAAGGAAUGGAGCAGCAGAAGGCAGAAUGCUGUGCAGGGGUUAACCCAGCCAUGUUUUAAAUAUGUUCCCUUAACAAGCAAUGGACAUAACAGCCAGCCCCGUGCCAGAGGUCCCCUGCCUUGUUAGCAAAGCACUGCUCAGGGCAGCUCCCCAGGCGCGAUGCUGCAGGGGCUCUGGCCAUAAUUUGGGUACUGAAGUAGUUAUUUCCCUUUCUAAGCAGUUCCUCUUUGAUGUGAACUCUGAGUUCAGACACCAGAGAGGAUGUUUCCCUCUGCAACCUGUGGCUGUGCAAGCAGCAUCCUCCCCAGGAAGGUGUGCAUUCCAUUUGUAUGGCAUUACUUUUCAUGCUUCUAGUAGUACCCACAGAGCCUGCAACUGCCUGGCACUGCUCUUGUGAAAGGAUCUCCGCAGGACUGGAAAGGCACAGGGCUCCUGCUUAUCAUACACCAGACACACAGGGGCACACAGGCUUUCUUUGUCCAUCUGGAGGCUCAGGUCAGGUUUUGUGCAAAGAAAUCAGCUGCCCAUCACAAGACUUCAUCUACAAAAAUGUUUCCUCAACCUCUAAAGCAAAAGCCAAGCCAUGAAUCUCGAUAAAAUGGCAACAAGGUGGGACAAAAGAACAAGGUUGUACAGGACAUUAUAUGCAGGAUGGUCUGAGAAUUAUGUCCUUAAGUUGCCUUGAAACAGCGCAGCAAAGAUCUUCUAACAAAGUUAAAUGUGCCUGGGAACAAUUGAUAUGGAAUGAGCAAGAUGGCUGGGAGGAUUGGCCAGUAAUUUUAGAAAUAAAAUUGUGAUUAAAAACACUUCACUGUUAAAAGCUGGGAAGCAGAUCGUCUGAUUGUGAUUAAUACAGUACUGCAAGAUGGGGCUGCCCAGAAGAAUGGCAGAGACUGAACUGGAGUUAAAUUCUUAUCCAACGAAAUGUAUCCAGUGUAAUCCAAUAGGUCUUCAAAGGUUAAUGUAAGCUAAAUCAACGCCGCUUCUGUCCAGAUAAGGUGUGGGAAAUUGUCCUUGAGUGUGAAUGUUCACAAAUCUGGAGAUGAGAGUAAUA